rnacentral:misc_RNA from 1 species
UGAUCUCCCGGUUCCAUGCCUG